rnacentral:rRNA from 1 species
UACAGAGGUCUCAAGCGUUGUUCGGAUUCAUUGGGCGUAAAGGGUGCGUAGGGCGGCGCGGUAAGUCGGGUGUGGAAAUCAUCGGGCGUUAACUCCGAAACUGCAUUCGAUACUGCCGUGCUUGAGGACUGGAGAGGAGACUGGAAUUUACGGUGUAGCGGUGAAAUGCGUAGAUAUCGUAAGGAAGACCAGUGGCGAAGGCGGGUCUCUGGACAGUUCCUGACGCUGAGGCACGAAGGCCAGGGGAGCAAACGGG